rnacentral:lncRNA from 1 species
AUUGAGAGGCAUACACAGAAAAAUUGUCAAAAAUAUUUGAUUCUGAUCUGUUCCAGGAUGAAGUAUACAGGGGACAAUAGUAACCUGCUGUUGCUAGCGGAAGGACACGGCUACACGUGUUACACCUGCCACGUGGGUUUCAAAACCACAGAGGAUCGGUCGACCACCGAUAAAAACCAAAGCUGUUGUUGCAAGGGGCAAUCUACCCCACAGCAGUUCCAACGGAGGAAGUUCAACCUAUUCAGAACGAAGUUAAACGCAAGGUUGCAAUCUAGCCGCUCUUUCAGUCUUAUGAGGCUGAAUUUCAGAGGAAUGUCUCAUUCCCUCCUAAUAAGCCUAGUCAUAGUGUGCACCUGUUUAAGCAGUCUAGUCAAAGCCGAAGAGGAACUGAAACAAGCACCUGCGUUCACCGAUUCAGAAAAGCCAUUCAAAUUAGGAGAGCUAUUGCAGCGGUUGCAAGCGGCCAAGCAAGCUUUAGACCGCGAGAGGAUACUCGAGCAAGCGUCGAAAGACGGCAAGGACCUCUUCGAGUACCUAGGUGAAAACUACUAUGGAUCGGAUUCCUCCGACACCCCGAUUGCGCCUCCGGGCUACCGGGUUAGACUAAUCUCCACGCCAGAGGCCGCCAGAGAUGACUACUUGUACGGCAAAGACAAGCGAGGCAACUACAUGACAUUGUGCCACUUCAAAAUCUGCAAUAUGGGACGGAAGCGGUGGAAAUCGUGGCCCUGACUAGAGCUGGAGCUGGAGCGCUGAAGCGCCCCGACGCCGGCGUCGCCGUACAGCUCGCCCCCACCCGCACGCCCCGCCGUCGCCAACACAUCCACCAGACAAACGUAUUUAUAAUCCGACCUCACCCAGAAGCCAUCUCUUCAGAUUCCUCCCAUACUAAAUUAUUGUAUAAUUUUACCGCAGAACAGACGAUGAAAAGUUGAAUAAAGUCAAUACCGUGAACUUCAAGUUUUCCCAGGUGCUUUUAUUUCCUCCGCGCCUCCUCCCGCUUUACGGCCGAGUUGUUUGGCCGUACUGCCGCGCUGAGAAAUAACGACUUCCUUGCCAACUUUUCCCAGAGCGGAAAGGAAUUACCCGCCAGUGGCGUGGCGUGAAUUGCGAUAUAUCGAUUGUUGUGCCAUUUAAACCUAUGAAAAAAGAUCGACUAUCAGGGUGUUCGCAGCGAACACCUCAAUAAUCGAUUCUUUACCAUAGCUUCAAAUGGCGAGAUAUCGAUAAUCGAUUAUUCACGCCACGCCACUGUUAGCUGCCUCUCAUGAGACACGGCGCGGAAACGAAAGUGUUGGGGGUUAUCCUCUAAAAUUGCGGGGCUACACAAAUUUUUUGGAUGAUGUGGCCAUUCCCGAUUAGUUGAGGGUGGUGCCGCAACAUUUGGAUUGGUAACCUAAUAAUGGGCCACUAGACAAGGUACGAUUUCCAGCAUUCUGAUACAUGUUCCGUAACAAAAAUUGCGCACAACGAAAAUUACCGAAAUUAACUCCUUACGAAGAUAUUUAAUGAUUCUUGAUGCGUGAAUUCAAACCACCCGCUCAUGAAAACUCAAUGCUCUACGUGAUUCACAUCGCGCGCUAAACGUCAUCAUGACAGUCUCUGCUAUAUAAAAAUCUGGCAACCUCAAUCUUGACGCUUCGGCUCAGCUAUAGCAAAUUGCUAAUAGUUUGAACAACACAUGGUGGGAAAUGAACAUUGCUCGAUUGAGAAGCUUGCUGAAACCGUUGUAGUGCGCAAUUUGACUCACGUAGAGCUUUGAGUUUCUUGCGAGCAGGCAGUUCAAAUUCCUCGUAACCAAUGUGCAAUAAAAACGUUAAUAUCUUCGUUUGGAUUGGUUUUAGUUUUUCGUUGCGCGAAUCGUGUUCUACGUGAAGUUCUGGUUAAGAAACAUGUAUCAGAUUGCUUAAAUUCGAACCUUGUCUAGUGGUCCAUUUAUUAGGGUACCGCCGAAAAACCCUUUGAUCCAUACGGACAAGAAUUCUCGUCCUCCCAUAACCACACAGUGACCCUACGGACGAGAAUUCUCGUCUCCGAACUUCAAAAUGCCUCGCGUUUAGGUAGUGUACUUUAUUUGGAAAAAAAGGGUAAUUCACUUUUGGUUACUGAUCUUCACUUCCACGUACCUUUGAAUAAAACACACAAAAUGUCACGCUAUUUUGAUGGAGAAAUAA